rnacentral:rRNA from 1 species
CGUGCUUAACACAUGCAAGUCGAACGGAAAGGCCCUGCUUUUGUGGGGUGCUCGAGUGGCGAACGGGUGAGUAACACGUGAGUAACCUGCCCUUGACUUUGGGAUAACUUCAGGAAACUGGGGCUAAUACCGGAUAGGAGCUCCUGCUGCAUGGUGGGGGUUGGAAAGUUUCGGCGGUUGGGGAUGGACUCGCGGCUUAUCAGCUUGUUGGUGGGGUAGUGGCUUACCAAGGCUUUGACGGGUAGCCGGCCUGAGAGGGUGACCGGCCACAUUGGGACUGAGAUACGGCCCAGACUCCUACGGGAGGCAGCAGUGGGGAAUAUUGCACAAUGGGCGGAAGCCUGAUGCAGCAACGCCGCGUGCGGGAUGACGGCCUUCGGGUUGUAAACCGCUUUCGCCUGUGACGAAGCGUGAGUGACGGUAAUGGGUAAAGAAGCACCGGCUAACUACGUGCCAGCAGCCGCGGUGAUACGUAGGGUGCGAGCGUUGUCCGGAUUUAUUGGGCGUAAAGGGCUCGUAGGUGGUUGAUCGCGUCGGAAGUGUAAUCUUGGGGCUUAACCCUGAGCGUGCUUUCGAUACGGGUUGACUUGAGGAAGGUAGGGGAGAAUGGAAUUCCUGGUGGAGCGGUGGAAUGCGCAGAUAUCAGGAGGAACACCAGUGGCGAAGGCGGUUCUCUGGGCCUUUCCUGACGCUGAGGAGCGAAAGCGUGGGGAGCGAACAGGCUUAGAUACCCUGGUAGUCCACGCUGUAAACGGUGGGUACUAGGUGUGGGGUCCAUUCCACGGGUUCCGUGCCGUAGCUAACGCUUUAAGUACCCCGCCUGGGGAGUACGGCCGCAAGGCUAAAACUCAAAGGAAUUGACGGGGCCCCGCACAAGCGGCGGAGCAUGCGGAUUAAUUCGAUGCAACGCGUAGAACCUUACCUGGGUUUGACAUGGAUCGGGAGUGCUCAGAGAUGGGUGUGCCUCUUUUGGGGUCGGUUCACAGGUGGUGCAUGGCUGUCGUCAGCUCGUGUCGUGAGAUGUUGGGUUAAGUCCCGCAACGAGCGCAACCCUUGUUCACUGUUGCCAGCACGUUAUGGUGGGGACUCAGUGGAGACCGCCGGGGUCAACUCGGAGGAAGGUGGGGAUGACGUCAAGUCAUCAUGCCCCUUAUGUCCAGGGCUUCACGCAUGCUACAAUGGCUGGUACAGAGAGUGGCGAGCCUGUGAGGGUGAGCGAAUCUCGGAAAGCCGGUCUCAGUUCGGAUUGGGGUCUGCAACUCGACCUCAUGAAGUCGGAGUCGCUAGUAAUCGCAGAUCAGCAACGCUGCGGUGAAUACGUUCCCGGGGCUUGUACACACCGCCCGUCAAGUCAUGAAAGUUGGUAACACCCGAAGCCGGUGGCCUAACCGUUGUGGGGGAGCCGUCGAAGGUGGGACUGGUGAUUAGGACUAAGUCG